rnacentral:rRNA from 1 species
GACGAACGCUGGCGGCGUGCUUAACACAUGCAAGUCGAACGGUAAGGCCCUUCGGGUACACGAGUGGCGAACGGGUGAGUAACACGUGGGUGAUCUGCCCUGCACUUCGGGAUAAGCUUGGGAAACUGGGUCUAAUACCGGAUAGGACCACGGUCUGCAUGGAUUGUGGUGGAAAGCUUUUGCGGUGUGGGAUGGGCCCGCGGCCUAUCAGCUUGUUGGUGGGGUGAUGGCCUACCAAGGCGACGACGGGUAGCCGGCCUGAGAGGGUGUCCGGCCACACUGGGACUGAGAUACGGCCCAGACUCCUACGGGAGGCAGCAGUGGGGGAAUAUUGCACAAUGGGCGCAAGCCUGAUGCAGCGACGCCGCGUGGGGGAUGACGGCCUUCGGGUUGUAAACCGUCUUUCUAGCAGGGACGAAGGGUGGACUGACGGUACCUGUAGAAGAAGCACGGCCAACUACGUGCCAGCAGCCGCGGUAA